rnacentral:lncRNA from 1 species
UUUUUUCAGAAGGAAUAGAUGGAUCAAUAUUACACACAACAGGAUGUAAUCGUGUUUGUUUCUCUUGUGAUAGUUUUGGUUUUUAUCGUUGUUAUGGUUACUGUUUUAAGCAUUGUGGCGUCACGAUGGAGGAAUGUGCGCGAUGAUAUGGAUGGACUGACAGACAAUGCAGAAAUAGCAACUGAUAUGUCAGUUAGGUCAGUCCAAGGAACAUACAGGACAUUGCCGGACUGAAGUGGAAAUGCAGAACAAAAACGAAAAUAUAUUUCAUGAUUCCAUUAAUCAGAACAGAGAAAACUAAGACUCAAACUUUGUACGUUUUUAGAAAGAAUGAUUUGGCUUGUUAAAAGUCUUUACAUACGAUGGAUUUUUGACUUGAGAAUUGCAUUUAAUGUACUUAUACCAUUCAUGUAUAUACAAUCUUUAAUGGAGAGAAAACAUUA